AAAGAUGUCAAUACCAACCAGAUGGACCUUG
rnacentral:piRNA from 1 species